AAUCCAUAAAGAUUAUUCUAGAAACCCUAAUUCCUCUCUCACCAAAAACAGACGCUCCCUUUUCCCCUCUCCAUUGUCGCUUUCAAUCUCUUCCAUGGCAGAGCUCUCUCUUGGCUUUUUCCCCCAUUUUUAGCCGAGUCUUGACCUUCAAAUCCCUAGGCGCCAGAGCGUAUCUCAUCAUUUCAGUAUAACCUGAAGCAUAUCACUGAAGAAUCACGUGAAGAUUGAAUCCAUCCAAAAGGCUUCAACGUUAAAAAUUCAAACGGAUCAGUUUGACUUCUUUUGAAAUCUAAAUUUCAAAUUCCCGCUCAAAGGAACCAAGAACCCUAAUUUUACACCUAUAAAUACUAGAUUUGGUGAAAAUUUUGAGGACCUUUUCGCUUGCCGCUAUAGACCUUUGGACCCGCCGCUUUUAUACUCUUUUCCUCGCCAUUCUUCUCUCAUUUUUUACUCAUUAGAACCACACUCUAAGGGUUCGUUUUUGUUCAGCCUCUAUUGGUUUUGUCUAACCAUAACAGAGGCGUCGUCGUGCUCGUUUCGGAGUUUGACGGUCGUUCAAGGUUGCGGAGUAGAGGCCGGAGAUAGCACACCUUGACCCAACCCCGGUUCACUGCCCCGAAGAAGCAAAACAUGGAGUUUAAAUACGAGACUCCCCAUACCCGAGCAUGGAUUCAUCACAUGACAUCUUCCUUAGAGUGCACCGGAUAGCAAGAAAAACAAGCGAAACGCUUGGGGGCGCUUAUGGCGUCUUUCUUAUUUCUUUUUCUUUUCUUUUGACAUUCAUUCUUGUCUAGUUUUAUGAUCCUAUAUUUAUUUUUGUGUUUUUGUUCAAGUUUGGAAUUUCAUAACAUUCGGAAGUCGCCGCUAAGUAAAUCAAUUUCGGUCUUGCUAGUUUAAA